CUUGCUUCUCUUGAGAGCGGCGGACGGGUGAGUAAUGCCUAGGAAUCUGCCUGGUAGUGGGGGAUAACGUCCGGAAACGGACGCUAAUACCGCAUACGUCCUACGGGAGAAAGCAGGGGACCUUCGGGCCUUGCGCUAUCAGAUGAGCCUAGGUCGGAUUAGCUAGUUGGUGGGGUAAUGGCUCACCAAGGCGACGAUCCGUAACUGGUCUGAGAGGAUGAUCAGUCACACUGGAACUGAGACACGGUCCAGACUCCUACGGGAGGCAGCAGUGGGGAAUAUUGGACAAUGGGCGAAAGCCUGAUCCAGCCAUGCCGCGUGUGUGAAGAAGGUCUUCGGAUUGUAAAGCUGUUUAAGUUGGGAGGAAGGGCAGUAAAUUAAUACUUUGCUGUUUUGACGUUACCGACAGAAUAAGCACCGGCUAACUCUGUGCCAGCAGCCGCGGUAAUACAGAGGGUGCAAGCGUUAAUCGGAAUUACUGGGCGUAAAGCGCGCGUAGGUGGUUCGUUAAGUUGGAUGUGAAAUCCCCGGGCUCAACCUGGGAACUGCAUUCAAAACUGACGAGCUAGAGUAUGGUAGAGGGUGGUGGAAUUUCCUGUGUAGCGGUGAAAUGCGUAGAUAUAGGAAGGAACACCAGUGGCGA
rnacentral:rRNA from 1 species